rnacentral:rRNA from 1 species
UGGGGAAUUUUGGACAAUGGGCGCAAGCCUGAUCCAGCAAUGCCGCGUGCAGGAUGAGGGCCUUCGGGUUGUAAACUGCUUUUGUACGGAACGAAAAAGCUCUCUCUAAUACAGGGGGUGAAUGACGGUACCGUAAGAAUAAGCACCGGCUAACUACGUGCCAGCAGCCGCGGUAAUACGUAGGGUGCAAGCGUUAAUCGGAAUUACUGGGCGUAAAGCGUGCGCAGGCGGUUUUGUAAGACAGAGGUGAAAUCCCCGGGCUCAACCUGGGAACUGCCUUUGUGACUGCAAAGCUGGAGUGCGGCAGAGGGGGAUGGAAUUCCGCGUGUAGCAGUGAAAUGCGUAGAUAUGCGGAGGAACACCGAUGCCGAAGGCAAUCCCCUGGGCCUGCACUGACGCUCAUGCACGAAAGCGUGGGGAGCAAACA